UUGUGGCCUGCCUGGGGAGGGCCCCGUUUGUCCUUGCCAGGGCCAAGUCCUGGGCUGCUCAUGAGGAGCGGGCAGCGCCUCAUGGCCACGGGCAGGGACCUGCGGAGCCCUUGGCCCGGCACAGAGUAAGUACUGCCCAGUUACUCCUUGUCCUGUUUGUUGUGUGUCUCAGUUUCCAGCCCUGAAGGAUCCUUGGCCAUAUGUGGCCUUCCCAGUGUUUGAAUUACAUCCUGCAGUUACAGUUUGACAACCACUUGUGGGAUAUUCCAUUGUGCCUUGACCUUGGUGCAUUUCCAGCCUUUCCAGGGGAUCAGGGGAUUGUAGUGUAUUGUGUAAAGCCUGGCCAAGCUAAUGUUCAGCUGUCAAUUAAACUAAAUACUGUGUUUGCUUCUGUUUUGUAUUAAUUCUAGGAGAUUCUUGAAUUAUUUUGUGGGAAUAGUCAACUGUGACCUCUUGCUGCAGGGCUGUAAUUUCAGGAUGUGCAUAUUCAACAAUUUUUUUUUUUUUGAUAGGUAAGUACACACUUAGCAUCAUCCUCUGUGCCACCUUCUGACCUGUGGGACCCCUUUGAAGGUGACCAGUGCCUCUGUGCCAUAGAAACAUCCUCUAGUGGAAAUAGAAGAAUUUGCAGAGCUGUUCUUCACUGAUACUUCUAUUUCUGGUUUAGAAAUUAGGAUUUGUAGAAUUUUAGUACAUUUUGAGAAGACAAGAGGUCUGCACGUGGCAGUACACACAGAUUUCAGGAAUGAGUUAUCAUGAAAUAAACAACUUCUCAAGCUUCUCUAGAUAGGAACUUUUUAACAACAGGUUCUUUUCCAAGUAUUUUUUUUCAUUUUUUUGGGUUGAAAUAAAGAAAUGCAAGAUUAAAAGGACAGAAGAACAAGAUCAAGAACUUCAGAUGUUUUAUUUGUAUCUUUCUUCAGAUUUUUGUUGACUUGGCAAUCAAUGAAUUCUAUUUAACUUUGUUCUUUCCAGUUGGCCUUUGUUCUUUUCCAGUUGGUUGAUUUUCAUUCAGAGUUUCAUAAAAAAGGUGGUUUCUUAGAUGGCCACAGUCCAGUCAGUGUGGAUGGACAACAGACUGGAGAAAUUUAUUGAUGUAUUUAUGCAGCGACUGCGUUAACACCUGGGUUUCAAACACAUCACAUCACUUCCACAGCAUGUAACCAGGAGCAAAAGUGGAAAUACCAGUUCCUGCCCUCACCUUUCCUGGGAUUUCAUUUGUUAACCAGCUUUAUAAAAAAGUACUCCAAGUCAGGAGGUGAUGCAAUGAGCACAUCAUCACACGCCUGUGGGAAAGACGAUUAUCAGUGUCAAGUGCAAAACUUUCAUACCAUCUGUCAGGUUGAACAGGAGCAAACAGUGAUUGCAUAAAGAGAGGAGGAAUUUUGUGUAUUUUUCUGGAAGUGCUGCAAAGCCUGGUGAAUGUUUUUGUAAAAUAAUUUAGUGACAUUUUUUCAGUAAAAAAAGAGCUAAAUGUUGCCAGGUCAAUUUAUUAUUGAAUAACAGUUUUUUAAGCAGCUGCUGGAAAAAUAUGGAAGAAUAAAAAGGUAAACUGAAGCGUAA